AAUAGAUACCCGGGUAGUCUCGGCCCUAAACGAUGUUCACUAGGUGUUGGGGGGUAACCCUCGGUGCCGCAGCUAACGCAUUAAGUGAACCGCCUGGGGACUACGGCCGCAAGGUUGAAACUCAAAGGAAUUGGCGGGGGCCCGCACAAGCGGUGGAGCAUGUGGCUUAAUUCGAUGCAACGCGAAGAACCUUACCAGGGCUUGACAUGUAGCUGCAAGCUCCCGAAACGGAGUCGCCUUCGAGGGUGCUACACAGGUGGUGCAUGGCUGUCGUCAGCUCGUGUUGUGAAAUGUUGGGUUAAGUCCCGCAACCGAGCGCAACCCUCAUGGUCUGUUGCCAGCGAGUAAUGUCGGGAACUCGGACCAAACCGCCUCUGUAAGGAGGAGGAAGGUGGGGAUGACGUCAAGUCAUCAUGCCCCCUAGCCCUGGGCUGCACACAUGCUACAAUGGCCGGUACAAAGAGCUGCUAACUCGCGAGAGUACGCUAAUCUCAAAAAGCCGGUCUCAGUUCGGAUUGGGGUCUGCAACUGACCCC
rnacentral:rRNA from 1 species